GAUGAACGCUGGCGGCGUGCCUAAUACAUGCAAGUCGAGCGAAUGGAUUAAGAGCUUGCUCUUAUGAAGUUAGCGGCGGACGGGUGAGUAACACGUGGGUAACCGGCCCAUAAGACGGAGAUAAGUUCGGGAAACCGAGGAUAAGACCGGACAACCUUUUAAACCGAAAGGAUCGAAAUUGAAAUGCGGCGUCGGCUGUCUCUUUUGGAUGGACCCGCGUCGCAUUAGCUAGUUGGUGAGGUAACGGCUAACCAAGGCAACGAUGCGUCGCCGACCUGAGAGGGUGAUCGGCCACACUGGACUGAAACAUGGCCCAAACUCCUACGGGGGGCAGCAGUAGGGAAUCUUCCGCAAUGGACGAAAGUCUGACGGAGCAACGCCGCGUGAGUGAUGAAGUCUUUCGGGUCGUAAAACUCUGUUGUUAGGGAAGAACAAGUGCUAGUUGAAUAAGCUGGCACCUUGACGGUACCUAACCAGAAAGCCACGGCUAACUACGUGCCAGCAGCCGCGGUAA
rnacentral:rRNA from 1 species